GUGCUUGCUUUGGCAGCACAAAUGCUAAAAUUGGAACAAUACAGAGAAGAUUAGCAUGGCUUCUGCUCAAGGAUGGCAGGGAAUUUCGUGAGGUGUUUCCUAUUUUU